CUCUCUGGUGGGUUCCCUGCAUGCCCAACAGGGCCACAAUAGACUAUUAGCUUUGGGAGAUUAGGGUUUUAUUGGAAGUUUUUUGGUUUGGGAUUUUUUUUUUUUUUGUAAGAGAUGAAAAGCUCAAAUUUUCAAGAUCCCAGAAACUAGAAGCAACCCCACAAUGAUAAACAAAGGUUACAGCCACGCUGUCAUCAGUCUUCUAGUAUUAGCAAACAAUUUUGCCUAGUCUAGCUGAAACAAGUUUAUAUUUUUGAAGGUCCAUGGGCCUCCCUUGGGAUGACUCGGAGACCAGCACAGAUGUUCCCCAAGUCCCGCACAGUGACCGUGCCACUGCCACACCUAGACUACAGGCAUGUGCCUACAACAACAAGCUGAGACCCUUGCAAGGGUGAAAUAAGAACACAUCUCAGUAAACAUGCUGGAGAGAGGAAGCAGGAAAGUCCUGACAGGCGGAGUGUCACUGAUGGGGACAGUGCAGCAUCACCACUGGCGGAGGUUGCAGACCAACUCUCUGCUUUCUCCAGUCUUAAUCCCUUGCUCACCAGAAGGCUGAUUUCACUCCACCCUGACUGCCUUUUUGCCAUGAAAGCCAGCAAGGCAACCCAGCCAGGCGGGAAACGAAAGGAAGAGCUGUCACUAAGUCAUGGCUUGGUCAAAAAGCUGACUUGAAAGGGAAGGAAACUCCAUCGAUCACCAGGAAAAAAGAAAUGUUUCACAGUCUGCAACUCGCAUCUGAGAAAACCAAAGGGAACCUGAAAUACUUCGGUAAAGGGGCUCGCUGCAGCGCUGGGGCAGCUCCAGCCAGCCGGCACCCCUCCCUCUCCCUCUUGCUCCGGCUCAAGUUUCGGUAUCUGGUUGAGAUAAAGAUCUGCUUCUUUCUGAGUCACUGCUGGGACAAGCCCGCUGCCCGGGUAUGUCCAGCCUGCUUUGUUUAUAAACAUGAGUAAGAUCGCAAGUCACUCGGCAGUUUUCUAAUUCUGGCACUAGCCAAGAGAUCAGAUCCAAGCAAGGAGCUGGAUGUGAGACACAGAACUACUUGGGGACGGGAUGGGGACUUUAUCGUGUCUGAAGAUCUUCCCCUUUGCCGCAGAGCACUCCACAUUGGUGCUGCUCAGGGAGGAGGGGACGGAGGGCUUGCUUAUCUCCCACGCUGCAUAUCAGAAGGGACACCGCAGGGACAGAAGGACUUUUAACCUUCCCCCUUUCUCCAUUCCCAGCACGUGGAAUGUGACACUGCUAGAAUUAGAAAGGCCAGGAAGAGACACUAAAUCUGGAUGUCCUCAGAAGAUUUGCAUAUUUUAGUUCCUUUAGAGAUCAAAUUCCUGCAACUGGCUCAGCACUCUUACAUUAUGAUUUCCCCGUUUGGGGGCAGAAACUAGAUGAGGCAGUUGUGUAAGACGGGCCUUUGGGGGAGGUUUGUCACACUCAAAGACAAAAAUAAAUUUGUUAAUUUUUUUCCCCUGCAGACUCUGUCUCUUGCUGACUGGAUCACUUUGUACUUCCUCUAUAUUUAUC